rnacentral:rRNA from 1 species
AACGAACGCUGGCGGCAGGCUUAACACAUGCAAGUCGAACGCAUCCUUCGGGGUGAGUGGCAGACGGGUGAGUAACGCGUGGGAACGUGCCCUUCAGUUCGGGAUAACCCAGGGCAACUUGGGCUAAUACCGGAUACGUGCGAGAGCAGAAAGAUUUAUCGCUGAAGGAUCGGCCCGCGUCUGAUUAGCUAGUUGGUGGGGUAAUGGCCAACCAAGGCGACGAUCAGUAGCUGGUCUGAGAGGACGAUCAGCCACAUUGGGACUGAGAUACGGCCCAAACUCCUACGGGAGGCAGCAGUGGGGAAUAUUGGACAAUGGGCGCAAGCCUGAUCCAGCCAUGCCGCGUGAGUGAUGAAGGCCUUAGGGUUGUAAAGCUCUUUCGCCCGGGACGAUAAUGACGGUACCGGAAGAAGAAGCCCCGGCUAACUUCGUGCCAGCCGCCGCGGUAA